CUGAGCAGUCACAACACUCGUCUAAUUUUUUUAAACCUUCCACGUGGACAGAGUUAUGACGCCCUUCUCUGAAGUACUGUGCACCACAGCCUCUGACCCCGUGGGUCCCGUUUCCUAGAGCACAUGUAUGCAAUAGGUACCUUCUUGACUGGAUGCCAGUAGGUUCUUACAAUUCUGAGACAUGUUUAUGUAUCUUUGCCUAGCCUUGAGGUCACAGCCGUUUUCUGCAUGGUCAAUACGUAUUUUAAACAAACCAAAGAAAAGUACAGAGAAAAUGGAGCCCAAGCUAAAGCUAGACAGAGAUGAAAUUCUCCUUGAGCAUCCUAGAAUGAAAGAGAAUCCACGGCCAUGAAGCAACCAGGCUCCUUGUGAUUAAUGGAAGUUGAAUCACAAGAGGAGAGAGAACAAAAGUUAGCAAUCUAACGGAACGAUUCAGAUAAGCAACCCGGUCCUUUACUGCUAUGGGACACAUACUGCAGCAAGUUGCUGGGCCUCUCUGUGCCCCAAAUUCUAUUCUGCAAAACAGGGACAGUGAUGGAUCAGGUACAAAUAGAAUGUGAUCAUUAAAUCCAUCAAGGACUAUAUAAAGGA